rnacentral:rRNA from 1 species
ACGCUCGACACCACGGGAGCAGCAGUGGGGAAUAUUGCACAAUGGGGGAAACCCGUGAUGCAGCGACGCCGCGUGAGCGAAGAAGUAUUUCGGUAUGUAAAGCUCUAUCAGCAGGGAAGAAAGUGACGGUACCUGACUAAGAAGCACCGGCUAAAUACGUGCCAGCAGCCGCGGUAAUCUGAGCGGGCUGGCAAGGC